rnacentral:rRNA from 1 species
AUACGUAGGGGGCGAGCGUUGUCCGGAAUGACUGGGCGUAAAGGGCGUGUAGGCGGCCGAUUAAGUCUGGAGUGAAAGUCCCGCUUUCAAGGUGGGAAUUGCUUUGGAGACUGGUUGGCUUGAGUGCGGAAGAGGUAAGUGGAAUUCCCAGUGUAGCGGUGAAAUGCGUAGAGAUUGGGAGGAACACCAGUGGCGAAGGCGACUUACUGGGCCGUAACUGACGCUGAGGCGCGAAAGCGUGGGGAGCGAACAGGAUUAGAUACCCUGGUAGUCCACGCUGUAAACGAUGAAUGCUAGGUGUAGGGGGUAUCGACCCCUUCUGUGCCGCAGUCAACACAAUAAGCAUUCCGCCUGGGGAGUACGGCCGCAAGGUUGAAACUCAAAUGAAUUGGCGGGG